rnacentral:rRNA from 1 species
UACGAAGGGGGCUAGCGUUGUUCGGAAUUACUGGGCGUAAAGCGCACGCAGGCGGCUCGAUAAGUUAGAUGUGAAAGCCCCGGGCUUAACCUGGGAAUUGCUUUUAAGACUGUCGGGCUAGAAUCCAGAAGAGGGUAGUGGAAUUCCGAGUGUAGAGGUGAAAUUCGUAGAUAUUCGGAAGAACACCAGUGGCGAAGGCGACUACCUGGUCUGGCAUUGACGCUCAUGUGCGAAAGCGUGGGGAGCAAACAGG